rnacentral:misc_RNA from 1 species
CUAAAACUACACUUAAACUAUAGUAAAGAGACUUAAAUUAAUGAAAUAAAUGUAAAGAAAAAUUUAAUAAAUAUAAGAAAUAAUUUUGGGACCCAAUUUUAAGGUUUAUUUAGGUAAAAAUGACAUUAAAGAUGUUAAAAAAAAAAUUAGAGAAAAUAAAAUAAAAUUUAAGAGAAUUUAUUAAUUGGUACAAAAAUAAUAAUAAUAACCCCAUGAGCACCAUGAAGGGCAUUUUAGU